rnacentral:tRNA from 1 species
ACCAGUGUGGUGUAGUGGCUAGAGUGCUGGACUAGGACUUGGGAGACUGGGGUUCAAAUCCCCAUUCUGCCA